UCUCAAAAAUAUUUUGCAAUCACUCAAAAAUUUAACACUCAAAAAUUUAACAAACACCAUAUUCUAUCUCAAAAUAAUGUUACUUUCAUCAUAUAUUUUUUUCAGAAUUUUUCUCCAAUUUUUGUUGUCCAAGAAACACUGCAUUCAAACACCACAGACUGAGAAAUAAGAAAAAUAAUCUUACCCAAAGUAUAUCUGUGUUUCAAAAAUUCUUAAAAUUCAUGAGAAAGCCUUUGGAAGUUGAAUUAUCACCAAAGCUCACCGGAGCCACCGCUGGAACCACCGCGCACGGUGGUCGGCCGCCACCCAUUGACGACAUUUGCCAAAUUCGAGCACACCAAAAUGUUCCUCUCCUUCUCCUAAUUCCAUAGAUACCAACCAUGCAUCAAAGCUGCUCACUAAUUGUUCAAACCAAGCUUUGUAAUCUCACCUUCUAUCUUUUCUUUCUUGCUUUCUCUCUCUUCUUUUCUCUCUUUUUCUCUCAUAUGUCUUGAAUUUCAGACCCAAAUUCAUCUUCUUUCACUGCCGACAGCCUCCCUCAUCGGCCAGCCAUCCAUUUUUUGGUCACUCCUCCUCCUUUCCCCUUCUUCUUCUUCUUCUUUAUCUUUUCUUGGCUGCCGGAGAUCUCUCCUCCUCCCCCUCCUUCUUUUUUAUCUUUUCUUGGCUGCUGGAGAUCUCUUAUCUCUUUUUCUUCUUCUUAUUCUUUUCUUCUUUUUUAUCUUUU
rnacentral:misc_RNA from 1 species